GAUGAACGCUAGCGGGAGGCCUAACACAUGCAAGCCGAGCGGUAUUUCUUCUUCGGGAGAGAGAGAGCGGCGUACGGGUGCGGAACACGUGUGCAACCUGCCUUUAUCUAGAGGAUAGCCUUUCGAAAGGAAGAUUAAUACUCUAUAAUAUAUUAAUUGGCAUCAAUUGAUAUUGAAAACUCCGGUGGAUAGAGAUGGGCACGCGCAAGAUUAGCUAGUUGGUGAGGUAACGGCUCACCAAGGCAAUGAUCUUUAGGGGGCCUGAGAGGGUGAUCCCCCACACUGGUACUGAGACACGGACCAGACUCCUACGGGAGGCAGCAGUGAGGAAUAUUGGCCAAUGGGUGCAAGCCUGAACCAGCCAUCCCGCGUGAAGGAUUAAGGUCCUAUGGACUGUAAACUUCUUUUGUAUAGGGAUAAACCUACCCUCGUGAGGGUAGCUGAAGGUACUAUACGAAUAAGCACCGGCUAACUCCGUGCCAGCCGCCGCGGUAACAC
rnacentral:rRNA from 1 species